CACGUAGGAGGCGAGCGUUGGCUGGAAUCAUUGGGCGUAAAGAGCGCGCAGGCGGCUUGGCAAGUCGGGUGUGAAAUCCCGGGGCUCAACCCCGGGACUGCAUUCGAUACUGUCAGGCUAGAGGUAGGUAGGGGAGAUCGGAAUUCCUGGUGUAGCGGUGAAAUGCGCAGAUAUCAGGAGGAACACCGGUGGCGAAGGCGGAUCUCUGGGCCUUACCUGACGCUCAGGCGCGAAAGCUAGGGGAGCGAACAGG
rnacentral:rRNA from 1 species